UGUAUCUGAAGUCUGACGAGGAUGAGAACCUCCGGGGGCAAGAGGUUCGACUCGAGCGAAGCGAGAGAACGUUGCGCCAGCAACGGCCCGCAGGGCGAGCCACGCAGUGGCGAGUCAUCCUCUAUCACCGGCA
rnacentral:sRNA from 2 species